rnacentral:snoRNA from 13 species
UGCAUAUGAUGUAACGAUAUUGCUAUCUUAAUGACGAUGAUGACAAUAUCCCACCAAGAUCGCUGAUGCA